AUUGAACGCUGGCGGCAGGCUUAACACACGCAAGUCGAGCGGAGAGAGGUAGCUUGCUACUGAUCUUAGCGGCGGACGGGUGAGUAAUGCUUAGGAAUCUGCCUAUUAGGGGGGGACAACAUUUCGAAAGGAAUGCUAAUACCGCAUACGUCCUACGGGAGAAAGCAGGGGAUAUUCGGACCUUGCGCUAAUAGCUGAGCCUAAGUCGGAUUAGCUAGUUGGUGGGGUAAAGGCCUACCAAGGCGACGAUCUGUAGCGGGUCUGAGAGGAUGAUCCGCCACACUGGGACUGAGACACGGCCCAGACUCCUACGGGAGGCAGCAGUGGGGAAUAUUGGACAAUGGGCGCAAGCCUGAUCCAGCCAUGCCGCGUGUGUGAAGAAGGCCUUAUGGUUGUAAAGCACUUUAAGCGAGGAGGAGGCUACUUUAGAUAAUACCUAGAGAUAGUGGACGUUACUCGCAGAAUAAGCACCGGCUAACUCUGUGCCAGCCGCCGCCGUAA
rnacentral:rRNA from 1 species